AGAGUAGCAUUUGGUGCUUGAGUUAAAAUAGCACUUUUGCCACUAAAUGUCUUAAUAUUUAGGCCAUCCUUAUCUAGCAUCUUCUCCAUUAGACCAAAGAAGAAAUCAUAAACCCUCAUUUUUCUCCUUAAGAGCCGAACCCCUACCCUUCCCCAUACUCCAUCAAUUUUCAAUCAAAUUCAUCAAGUUUGGAGGCAAAUCAUCAAAAAUUGAAGGGAGAUAAAGACCCGGCGAGGCAACUACCGACGGGACCUGGAACUUGAGGAGCGUGACAUAGCGUUAUCCGGUUUGGAAACUAGGAAUAGCAAGUGUGUUUUAUUUCAGGUGAUAGUAUUUUGAAGGCAAGGACUUCCAUUCUUGUUCCGGAAGUCUGCAAUAUUUUAAGUAUAUGUAUUGAAGUAUGCUUCAAAUCCUAGCGCUGCAGUAGUCAGUAGAUGUCAGUAUAAAAAUAAUAUUUUGUGUCAAACGAUAUUUUGCUAUUAACUCUGAGAUGAUAAAUGUAUGUUCAUAGUUUAUAUAAAUCACGCUUUUUAUUCGUGUUAUUUCUUUACCAAUUAUCCAUGAA